rnacentral:rRNA from 1 species
UACAGAGGGGGCAAGCGUUGUUCGGAAUUACUGGGCGUAAAGGGCGCGUAGGCGGCCCGCUAAGUCGAACGUGAAAUCCCCGAGCUCAACUCGGGAACUGCGUCCGAUACUGGCGGGCUUGAAUCCGGGAGAGGGAUGCGGAAUUCCAGGUGUAGCGGUGAAAUGCGUAGAUAUCGGAAGGAACAUCAGUGGCGAAAGCGACUUCCUGGACCAAUACUGACGCUCAUGUGCGAAAGCGUGGGGAGCAAACAGGG